AUGCCAGGUCCAGGGAAAACAAGAGUGUGUUCAAUUUCAUGUUUUCAACGAAGGUUGAAUUACUCCUACUGACAUGGCUGUUGGUUUUCAUUGCAGUAGAUGUUUAGGUUUCCAUUUCUUCCUCCCCUUAACAUUUACUAACUUACUAUAGGUUGACCAUACCUCAAAGGCUGUAUGGCAACUGCAUGGAAUCUUGAGCAAGUU
rnacentral:lncRNA from 1 species